GACUUCAAUUAAAAAAGUCAUCAAUAACAAAGUUGUAUAAUCCAUCUGGAUCUACAAUUUUUAUUUUGGUCAUUUGUUCAUACGAGAAAGAAAUUUGUAACAUUGUUUACAAAAUGUGCACAUCUCUUAUAUAGUUUAUCAGCUAUAGAAGAGAUAUGUAAAUUUUGUGAAUAAUGUUACUAUCGCUUUGUCGGAUGAAGAAAUUAUUAAAAUAAAAGUUAUAUAUAUUGAUGAGUUACACAACUUUGUUGUUGAUGACUUUUUUAGUUGAAAUC
rnacentral:pre_miRNA from 1 species